AUGACUUUAGUUAAUGAUAACCCCACUAUUUUGGAAGAGAGUCAACUUCGCAUGCAUGUGGAUCGUGUUGAGAAUAUGUUAUGUGAUAGCUAUUUUGUUGAAUUUUCUUAUGAUCCUACAUGUAAUUAUUAUGAGAGAGGAAAAUAUGGUUGUAGAAAUUUUCAUGUUACUAAAUUACCUCUCGUUAUGUUGAGAUUGCUAUUGUUUCUUUCCGCUUCCUUGCAUAUGCUAGUUUUUGCUUGCCUUGAUAAUUUGUUUGCCUACAAGAUGCCUAUGCAUAGGAAGUAUGUUAGACUUAGAUGUGUUUGUCACAUGUUUCAUGAUGUUCUCUUUGUGUUUUAA
rnacentral:rRNA from 1 species